rnacentral:lncRNA from 1 species
AUGUUGCUUCCCUCCCAUUCCACUAGAUGGGUAAAUUUAGUUACACUAAAAUGACUUGAUGAUAAUGACCAACAUGUAUCACAAACUUGCCAUCAAAUGUUAUGUGAGCCUCCAUAUCAUGUACGUAUGCUGCAAGAAAGCUAGGUCCAGGUAUACAUAUGGUGUCUAUAUGACAUAGCUACAUGAACUUGAUGCGUACUUGAGGAAGCGACAACCUUACUGAAUUAUCAUGUUCAGGUGCUACGAGUGGAGUGGAGCAGAAGUUCAAAAAGGUAUUUAUGCUGCAACAAUGUUUCAUGCCAAGUGGACUACUGGCCAAUGACAUUUAGUAUGCUAACAGACUUUUCAAGAUAAAGGGCUUGCUUUGUUGCUCAUGCUGUCACAUGUUAGAUGAAAGGGUUCAAGGAUGUAUUAUGCUUCUACUUGAGCAAUUGCGAACGCGGGAAGCGAUGUCUCACUAAAUUUUCACGUUUGAGGUGCUACCAAGGAAGCAAAUGUCUAACCAGAUUUUUUUGCAUAGAUUGAAAAGUUGAACUUAGUUAUCAAGGAGCUCGUUAAGGAAACUGAUGAAGAA